UCGACACAGCGGACUUCGGUCCUUGCUGCACCCUUGUCUUUUGCGUACCGUAUCGUUUCCUCGGCGGGCUUGCCUGCCGGUUGGACACUAUCAAACCUUUUUGUAGUUGCAAUCAGCGUCAGAAAAAUCAUAAUUAUUA
rnacentral:misc_RNA from 1 species